CAAUAUCCUGGCGGCGACCGGCGGACGGGUGAGUAACGCGUGAGCAACCUGCCUUUCACAGGGGGAUAACGCAUCGAAAGGUGCACUAAUACCGCAUGAGACCACGCUCCCGACAUGAGAGAGGGGUCAAAGGAGCAAUCCGGUGAGAGAUGGGCUCGCGUCUGAUUAGCUAGUUGGUGAGGUAACGGCCCACCAAGGCGACGAUCAGUAGCCGACCUGAGAGGGUGAUCGGCCACAUUGGGACUGAGACACGGCCCAAACUCC
rnacentral:rRNA from 2 species